rnacentral:rRNA from 1 species
UUAUGUACAUGCUUACAAUAUAGUGUUAAUUCACCAUAUUCCAUUAGAACUCCGCAAUUAAGCGUGUUCAGGCUAGAGUAGUACUGGGAUGGGUGACCACUCGAAAAGUCCUAGUGUUUUACAUGCC